AGUCGAGCGGUAACAUUUCUAGCUUGCUAGAAGAUGACGAGCGGCGGACGGGUGAGUAAUGCUUGGGAAUAUGCCUUAUGGUGGGGGACAACAGUUGGAAACGACUGCUAAUACCGCAUAAUGUCUACGGACCAAAGGGGGGGAUCUUCGGACCUCUCGCCAUUUGAUUAGCCCAAGUGAGAUUAGCUAGUUGGUGAGGUAAUGGCUCACCAAGGCGACGAUCUCUAGCUGGUUUGAGAGGAUGAUCAGCCACACUGGGACUGAGACACGGCCCAGACUCCUACGGGAGGCAGCAGUGGGGAAUAUUGCACAAUGGGCGCAAGCCUGAUGCAGCCAUGCCGCGUGUGUGAAGAAGGCCUUCGGGUUGUAAAGCACUUUCAGUAAGGAGGAAAGGGAUGUAGUUAAUAACUGCAUUCUGUGACGUUACUUACAGAAGAAGCACCGGCUAACUUCGUGCCAGCAGCCGCGGUAAUACGAGGGGUGCAAGCGUUAAUCGGAAUUACUGGGCGUAAAGCGUUCGUAGGCGGUUGAUUAAGCAAGAUGUGAAAGCCCAGGGCUCAACCUUGGAACUGCAUUUUGAACUGGUCAACUAGAGUACUGUAGAGGGUGGUGGAAUUUCCA
rnacentral:rRNA from 1 species